rnacentral:rRNA from 1 species
AUGGAUCCUGUCUCAAACAUCAUCCUCAACACUGUCUGGUAUGGCUCUACAUUCUCUACACACCAUGAGUUUGAGCUUAGCUUUGAGGUGGACAUGAUAUGCACCAAUGCCCUGAUGCGCAUAGAGUGCUGCUCUCUCUAUGGCCUCGUUGCCUUCAUGCGCACUCUCUUCAGCGCUCUAACAGAUCAUGAUGCCAUAUGGUACCUGCUCAUAAGCAAUGCUGACAUCCGUUCUGCCAUUAAAAUGGCAGAAGUGGAUGGCCAUUCUGUGUGCUAUGACAAUGACCCUUAUAGGGAAGCAGCGCGUGCUUCAUGGCAUCCUGACACUGAUGCUCUGGUAAAAUUCUUUUCGUCAUCCAUAAUCACAGAAUCCACUGAGUCAUGUGUGCCGACUCUUGCACUCACGGAUGGUGGAAUUGAGCGGCUCGCCAUGUUGAUUUCACCCAAUCCUUCACCUACCAAGUCAAGCUCAGAGACCUUAUCAGAAAACCAGAAAAUGUUCAUUCGGGCGGUUCAAAAGAAAUUUAAGGCUGACCAUUCUUUGUCAGGAAAGUCACUGCUGCAUUGUUCAACUAUAGUCAGCAAACAGGGGUGCAAUAUGAACUUCAGGUGA